GGAUAUAGCUCAAUUGGUAGAGUGCCUGCCUUGCAUGCACAAGGCCCUGGGUUCAAUCCCCAGCACCA
rnacentral:tRNA from 1 species